rnacentral:tRNA from 1 species
CACAGUGUAGCUUAACUUAAAAGCAUCUGGCCUACACCCAGAAGAAUUCAUGAAAAAAUGAACACUUUGA